rnacentral:rRNA from 1 species
GAUGAACGCUGGCGGCGUGCCUAAUACAUGCAAGUCGAGCGAACAGACGAGGAGCUUGCUCCUCUGACGUUAGCGGCGGACGGGUGAGUAACACGUGGAUAACCUACCUAUAAGACUGGGAUAACUUCGGGAAACCGGAGCUAAUACCGGAUAAUAUAUUGAACCGCUUGGUUCAAUAGUGAAAGACGGUUUUGCUGUCACUUAUAGAUGGAUCCGCGCCGCAUUAGCUAGUUGGUAAGGUAACGGCUUACCAAGGCGACGAUGCGUAGCCGACCUGAGAGGGUGAUCGGCCACACUGGAACUGAGACACGGUCCAGACUCCUACGGGAGGCAGCAGUAGGGAAUCUUCCGCAAUGGGCGAAAGCUUGACGGAGCAACGCCGCGUGAGUGAUGAAGGUCUUCGGAUCGUAAAACUCUGUUAUUAGGGAAGAACAAAUGUGUAAGUAACUAUGCACGUCUUGACGGUACCUAAUCAGAAAGCCACGGCUAACUACGUG